rnacentral:rRNA from 1 species
AAAAAAACGACUCUCGGCAACGGAUAUCUCGGCUCUCGCAUCGAUGAAGAACGUAGCGAAAUGCGAUACUUGGUGUGAAUUGCAGAAUCCCGUGAACCAUCGAGUCUUUGAACGCAAGUUGCGCCCGAAGCCGUCAGGCCGAGGGCACGUCUGCCUGGGCGUCACGCA